rnacentral:rRNA from 1 species
CACGUAGGGUGCGAGCGUUGUCCGGAAUUAUUGGGCGGAAAGAGCUCGUAGGCGGUGUGUCGCGUCGGCCGUGAAAACCUGGGGCUUAACUCUGGGCUUGCGGUCGAUACGGGCAUCACUGGAGUUCGGCAGGGGAGACUGGAAUUCCUGGUGUAGCGGUGAAAUGCGCAGAUAUCAGGAGGAACACCGGUGGCGAAGGCGGGUCUCUGGGCCGAUACUGACGCUGAGGAGCGAAAGUGUGGGGAGCGAACAGG